rnacentral:rRNA from 1 species
AAUGAACGCUGGCGGCAUGCCUAACACAUGCAAGUCGAACGGUAACAGGCCGCAAGGUGCCGACGGGUGGCGAACGGGGGAGUAAUGCACCCGAACGUGCCCAGUAGCGGGGGGUAACUACUCGAAAGAGUAGCUAAUACCGCAUACGAUCUAAGGAAGCGAGCGGGGGACCGCAAGGCUUCGAGCGACUGGUGCGGCCGAUGUCAGAUUAGGUAGUUGGUGGGGCAAAGGCUCACCAAGGCAACGAUCGGUAGCGGGUCUGAGAGGACAACCAGCCACACUGGGACUGAGACACGGCCCAGACUCCUACGGGAGGCAGCAGUGGGGAAUUUUGGACAAUGGGCGAAAGCCUGAUCCAGCAAUGCCGCGUGCAGGAAGAAGGCCUUCGGGUUGUAAACUGCUGUUGUACGGAACGAAACAACGCUGUUUAAUACCCGAGGAUAAUGACGGUACCGGAAGAAUAAGCACCGGCUAACUACGUG